AAUUUAAAAGCCUGAACUUUUUUUGCUAAGCCCUUGUCCAAGCCUAACUUAUGCAAGCUUUACAUUUUUUGGGCCCAUAUCCAGGUCCAACCCCUUGCGGGCUGGGCUUUAAGCCAGCGGGCCUGGACUGUGCCGGCCCGGGCUUUUUUGCCACCUCUAAUCAAGAGAGUUUUCAAAAUGACUGAUAUCUAAAGAAAAAAUACCAAGCUUGAUUUGCCUUUUUUUUCUGUAAAACAUAAAAAUGAAAUCUAAAAAGGAAAUGACAAAUCUUACAACUUUAGCUUUGAAUCAGACAAAACAAGAGAGUCAACCAAAAAAAAAUAUAUUCAUCGUCAAAUGAUAACAUAAUAGCAAAGAUGGUUUAUAAAAGUUGUUGCAAAUUUAAAAAAAUCCUGAAAUAAUACAUUAAUCCAAAGUAACACAAAAACACUAGCACAAACUUAAUUAAAAAAGAACUAACAUAAAAAUACUAGUACAAAAUAGUUUCUCAAUUUCAGAUGUCAUCUUGUUGAUCCUUUAACCACUCAAGUUGAUACUCCGGCUCACUAAAACCAACAAAAAUCUCUCUAUUUACCUUUUUCUAAACAAAUGAAAGCCCAACUCGAAUAAAUGAGACAUUGGUUGGCAUCCUAGAAGUGUAACUAACUUGUCGAGAACCUCCUAAACACUACAACUAGGAGGAUCAGUACGUAUAUAUGAAUCAUUAUUCUUAACUGUCUCACAAAAUUCAUUAAGUUGUUUGGUCAACUUAGAUGAAAUAGUUAUUUUCCUGUUAGCUUUUUUUAAUUGCUUCUUCUUGGUGGAAUCUUUUCCAAACGGUUACUACAUCCUAUUUCAUCAUGGUUAACUUCUUCAAAAUUUGCACUAUCCAUCAGAGCAAUAUCAUCCUCAAUAAUAUUUCCAAAACUAGAAUGAUUGCAUAAAGGAGGUGUUACACCAGAAGUUGGUGCCCAUGCUUUUGCUUAUGUUGCUGUAACAUCAUGAAAUAAUUCAUCUAACAUAAAAGCAUGGUCUAGGCCCUUAAUCUGAAAUUUUGCACCUUCUGGGUGUUUCUGUUAUUAUAAUUUUAGAAUUAGUG
rnacentral:lncRNA from 1 species